rnacentral:rRNA from 1 species
GACGGAGGGUGCAAGCGUUGUUCGGAAUUACUGGGCGUAAAGGGCGCGUAGGCGGUCUGUUAAGUUCGGUGUGAAAGCCCCCGGCUCACCUGGGGAACUGCGCCGGAAACCGACAGACUCGAGUACCGGAGAGGAGGGUGGAAUUCCUGGUGUAGCAGUGAAAUGCGUAGAUAUCAGGAGGAACACCGGUGGCGAAGGCGGCCCUCUGGACGGAUACUGACGCUGAGGCGCGAAAGCGUGGGGAUCAAACAGG